CGCGGGAGCGGUGGCUAAUACCGGGUAUGCCGAGAGGUGAAAGGUUAACUGCCUGGAGAUGAGCUCGCGUCUGAUUAGCUAGUUGGUGGUGUAAGGGACUACCAAGGCGACGAUCAGUAGCUGGUCUGAGAGGAUGAUCAGCCACACUGGAACUGAGACACGGUCCAGACUCCUACGGGAGGCAGCAGUGGGGAAUUUUCCGCAAUGGGCGAAAGCCUGACGGAGCAAUACCGCGUGAGGGAGGAAGGCUCUUGGGUUGUAAACCUCUUUUCUCAGGGAAUAAGCAAGUGAAGGUACCUGAGGAAUCAGCAUCGGCUAACUCCGUGCCAGCAGCCGCGGUAAUACGGAGGAUGCAAGCGUUAUCCGGAAUGAUUGGGCGUAAAGCGUCCGUAGGUGGCUGUGUGUGUCUAUUGUUAAAGAGUUUGGCUCAACCAAAUAAGGGCGGUAGAAACUACACAGCUAGAGUGCGUUCGGGGCAGAGGGAAUUCCUGGUGUAGCGGUGAAAUGUUUAGAGAUCAAGAAGAUCACCGGUGGCGAGAGCGCUCUGCUAGGCCGCAACUGACACUGAGGGACGAAAGCUAGGGGAGCGAAUGGGAUUAGAUACUCCAGUAGUCAGCUAGGGG
rnacentral:rRNA from 1 species